rnacentral:rRNA from 1 species
AUACGUAGGGGACAAGCGUUAUCCGGAUUUACUGGGCGUAAAGGGCGUGUAGGCGGUCUUGCAAGUCAGAAGUGAAAUUCCUGAGCUCAACUCGGGCGCUGCUUCUGAAACUGCAGGACUUGAGUGCUGGAGGGGAUAGCGGAAUUCCUAGUGGAGCGGUAAAAUGCGCAGAUAUUAGGAAGAACACCGGUGGCGAAGGCGGGCAACUGGACGUGAACGUACGGUGGGGCGAGAAAGCGAGGGGAGGAAACAAGAUGAGUUAGCCUGGUAGGCCACGCCCUAAACGAUCAAUACUAGGUGUAUGGUGGAUCGACUCCCUCUGUGCCGCAGAUAACACAAUAAGUAUUCCGCCAGGGGAGUGCGGGCGCAAGGUUGAAACUCAAAGGAAAUGGCGGGG